GGAGGAUUCGCCUAGUGGCCUAGGGCGCACGCUUGGAAAGCGUGUUGGGGGCAACCCCUCACGAGUUCGAAUCUCGUAUCCUCCGCCC
rnacentral:tRNA from 16 species